rnacentral:lncRNA from 1 species
AAGAAGCAAGUAAAGAACUUGGUGAAGAACUGGAAGAUAAAGAAAAUGUUCAACUAGAAGAGAAAGAAAAAGUUUCACGCAAUAUCUUAGUGGAGUUGUCUCUUAUAAAACAAAACAAGUUGUUGUGGAGAAGACAUGUACUGAUUGUCUUCUAAUUAUUAUAUUGACAAUUGAAAUUUUGUCUCUUGAUGAGUUGGUGCAAUAUAUAUAUAUAUAAUGUCGCCAGCUGAGAGGAACACAGAGGACACCAAUGAUGAGGAUCUUAACCAAUGUCCAAGGGAAAGAAAGAGAGACAGUAUUGGUUACGAAGUUUCGUCAUUUUCUCUGUUAACUCCUACUCCUUCAAGUACCCAGAUGGAUGUUGAUGUUGCUUUGACUAUGGAGGUUGAAAAAAAAUGUUGAGGAAGAACUUGGUAGAGGGAAAAAGAACAAAAAGUUUAGCUGGCAGUUGAAAUCUCCCUUUGAUAAGGAGAGAAAAGUAGUAAGUUCCAAGGCAGACAAUAAAAAUACACCUUAAGAGUGCAGGUUGGGUGAAACAUACACUUGUAGGUUUAUUUUUCAUUAUACCUCUGAAGAUGAAAAAUUAAUGAAGAAAUUCACUGUAUGAUUGGGCAAGGAGAAGAGGCGAGGUCGCAAAAAAGAGUAAGUCUGUUAAUGUGUUUCACUACAUCCUUAACUUCUGCGGUUAUUACAAUAAUUUUAUAACUAACUAUCCCUAACAUAUAUAUUCAAGUUUAAUACUUAAGGACUACCUGUCCUUAAGUUUUGAACUUGGAAUUCCAAGUUAAGGACAGACAAUCCUUAAGUUCUAAACUUCAAUCUAUAAGUUAAAGACCAAGUGUCCUUAGCUUUUGAACUUCAUACUUAAACUUAAGGACAACAUGUCCUUAGCUUUUGAAUUUUGAAUUCAAACUUAAGGAUAGUCCUUAGCUUUGGAAUUUCUUAUUCAAAUUUAAGGACUGUCUGUCGUUAAAUUUUCAACAUGAAAGGCUAAGUUCAGGAUUAAAUUCUAACUUGAUAUGAUCAAAAUUUUCAGGGGACAGACUGAUUUAUAUGUUGAUGAUAUAGUGUCAGGAAAAAUUCAUACAAAUUGUAUCAUCAAAAAAUAAGUUAUUUUAUUACUGAUGGAUUUGUUUAUUGUUAGCCUUUUAUGAAGCAUAUUGACAUUGCGCUAUAUAUCUGAGAAAGAAGGAAUGCUACCACCCUCGCGGUCAUCCUUUUAAAUGCACUUCUUUUUUAUAACUACAUGGCCCUUGUGUAUAAGGAUUUUAGUGAAGAUGCUAGUGAUGAGUUUUGGUGUGCUACUGAUGACCAGUUGUUUCUAACACCAUAUGUGUCGGGGUACAGCAGUAGAUAUGGGAUUGCCUGGACUGAGGUUGAUAAAAUAUUUUUCCCAUGUCGCCUUCCUUCAGAAGAUGACAAAGCUGUGACACAUUUUCUGUUGGGAGCUUUGGACUUGAAUCUGAAAAAGAUUGAUGUAUAUGAUUCCAUAUACAGUGAGCCGUAUGAAGCUGGAAUGAACCAUAUGGUCACAUUUUCUGUUGGGAGUUUUGGACUUGAAUCUGAAAAAAAUUGAUGUAUAUGAUUUCAUAUACAGUGAGCCGUACGAAGCUAGAAUGAACUAUAUGGAAAUGUAUGCGCCCAUGAUCCCCCACAUGGUAAGGUUUGCACAGUUUGACAAGCAUCAUAAGUCUUUUGGGAAUAUCUUCAACAAGUUUGAUAUAUAAUAUCACCACACCAAACUGGAUCGUACGUAUUGUUAUUCGUUGUAGUAUUUAUACGAACUUAAUAUUUUGUUGUUUAAUUCAUUGCAUAUCUUUCUCUUAUUUUAGGACUGAUUGUGGUGCAUUUCUGGUCAAAUUUGUGGAGUUGUUGAUGAUUGGAAAGGACAUGCAGCAAUCAACCCGAAGAUACAAAAUACUUUCGAAAAGAACUUGCUGCAAAUCUUUAUGAUCAAAUUUAUGGAGUUGCUGAUGAUUGGAAAGGACGUGCAGCAAUUCCAACCCGAAGACGUAGAAGACUUUCGAAAAGAACUUGCUGCAGAUCUUUGGGCACGUGGUGAAUGGAAUAGAAACUCUGGUUACGAUACUCCACCAGAAAAUGUGGGUGAUGAUUAUGAAAGUGAUAAUGAAACUUUGUGUGAAAAGGAAUUGUAAAGAAAUUGUGGUGUUGUUUUGUAUGAAACUGCUGUAAAUGCUACGUGACCCCCUCUGAAUUCUGCCACUUUAGGAUACUUCUUAAAAUAGAUUGUAAAUUUGUGAAAAGGUACUUAUAUUUUGUUGGCAUAGCAUAAUUUUUGGUAAGUACUAUGCAAAAUUACAAUUGCAGAAGUAUAUAUCAAGGUAUAUUGUUAGUUAUAUCAUUAUUUUUUCUGGAGUCUUUAUUUGUCCAUUGAGUUUGUUAGUAUUAUUUUAUGAUCAGGUCCAAGAGAACUUCAAAUUCAAAGUUAAGGACCAAGUCCUUAACUUUUGAACAUGAAACACAAAGCUAAUGACUUGUUGCCCUUAAUAUUUUUGAGAAUGUAAUUCAAAUUUAUGGACUGGUUGUCCUUAACAUUUUGAAAAAUAUAACUCAUUCUGACUAAAGGAAUCAUGUAGAGUUAAAGACAAACAGUGCGUAGGUUUAUUUAUGGAAGUAUAAGUAAAACAUCUCAUGUUCUAAACUUUUGAAGUUGAUAUACAAAGUUAAGGACAUUAAGUCCUAAUGUUUUGAACAUGAGAUUAUAACUUAAGGACUUGAAAUUUAAAGUUAAGGACCCGUCAGUCCUAAUGUUUUGAACAUGGUACUAUUACUUAAGGACCCAAUGUCCUUAACUUUUUAACUUGAAAUUCAAAUUUAAGACCGACAGUCCUAAUGUUUUGAACAUGGUACUAUAACUUAAGGACCCAAUGUCCUUAACUCUUUAACUUGAAAUUCAAAGUUAAGGGCUGUUAGUCCUAAUGUUUGAAAUUGCAAGUUUAAUUUAGUGACUCAUGUUUGUAACUUUUAAUUGUUGAACUCUAAAGAAAUUAAAAGAUGUUAACAUGAUAGAAAUAUUAAAAAUCUAGACGUCCGCUAAUAUUAGAAUAAUAAUGAAUACAAUCUAUAGCAAAAACUUAAAAUUGUCAAUAAACACAAAUAGAUAUAUCUACUCUUCUUUAUGCUUUCUUGAAAAUGGAUGGAGUGGCGGAGAAUAUAUACAAGAUGUUCUAUUAUGACCAAUUCUUCUGCAACGACCACAUUUGUAUGUUAUUUUUGAUGGCCCGGUAGCAGGAAUAUGCAUUUUCUUUUGCCUUCUACCUGGUGGCACUUUGAAAUCUGGUGGCUUAACAAUUUUUGACUUAACACCCUCUGGUACAUUCCAAGAAUCAGUAUGUCUUACAGGAUGUAUUUGUCUUUCAUAUGUUUUCAGCCAAGAUUCCCUGAAGUACCAAUGCAAACAAAAGUCAGACUUCUUGAUGUUUCUCUUGUCGAUAGCUGCAAUUGCAUGUAUGCAUGGCAUUUCAUCAAAUUGAAAUUGAAAACAAUCACAUUUUCUUUUGUUUAAGUCCAUCAGGAAAGUUAUUCCUUCUUCUUCAACUCUAGAACGACAUGAAUCAACGGGGAAGACCUUCAAUGUUGAAAAAUUAUAAGUCAGUACAUUAUGUUAAAUUAUCUUAAAACCAAUUGCACUUACAAUUUAAAGUUAAGGACUGCAAAAUUUAUUCUUUUCUUCAAUUCCUCCUCUACCCAACAAGAAACAUCAUAAAAUGUUCAUUCUGCUUUAUUUCUUCUUUCAUAAAACCAAUGUUGUAGCUUCACUUGAAUGAAAUAUAUCAUUCUUAGUAUGGGCAGCUCCCUUACUUCUAAUAGCACUGAAUUCAUCGACUCAAUUAUGUUUGUUGUGAGCAUGUCAUAUCUUCGUCGCGGAGUACAAGAACGUGCCUAUCUUUCCGGUUGUUCUUCCAUCAAGUAGUCAUAAGUUUUCUUAUCUACAUUUUCAAUAUUUGACAUGUAUAGGUCAAAUUCUUUAUGCUUGUAAACUCUUGAAGCACUUUGGAAAAGUUUUAUGACCUUACUUUUCCCCUUUCAUCGCUAUACGUUCUGCUCCAAAUGAUAGAUGCAAAUCCCAUGAUGGCUUUCAGGAUAUACCUUUGCAAUGCCAUUUUCAAUAGCUUGAUGCAUGUCUGAUAAAAAAAUCAAAUUCUCACGCCUCCUAAUUGCAUUGCGAAGCUGACCAAAGUACCACUCAUAGGAGUUGUUGUUUUCAGAUUCAGCUAUUCCAAAGGCUAAUGGGAAAAUUUGGUUAUUUGUAUCUUUUGAAACUGAAAUCAUUAAAACACCACUAUAUUUUGACUUCAAAAAAGUUGCAUCAACAGCAAUCAUUGGUUUACAAUGAUUCCAACCAGCUAUCGAUGAUCCAUAUGCAUAAAACAUAUAAACAAACUUGCAAAUUUAAUAUAAAACAAUAUUAAAAUACCUGAACUAUAGGACAGUCAGUCCUUAACUUAUAUUUACAAGUAACAAAGUUAAGGACAUGUUGUCCUUAACUUUUAUUUAGGAAAGUCAGUCCUUAACUUAUAUUUACAAGUAACAAAGUUAAGGACAUGUUGUCCUUAUCUUUUAUUUCAAAGUUCAAAACUAAAGAACUGAAGGUCCUUAACUUUUAAUUACAAGUUCAAAACUUAAGGAUAGGCAGUCCUCAACUUCUGGUAACAACUCAAGGUUAGAUAAAAUUUUCAUUAUAUAUUGUGUAUUAGUUUUAGUAAAUUAUUAGAAUGAGUAUUAAUUGCAAAUGUUACAUAAUCUUUUCAUGCAGUAAACAAAGAAGCUGGAGUGAGCUAAGAAGGUGGAGUGCAAUAUCAAGAGGAAACUGUAAUACAAUCUCAAGAGAUAGGCAGAAGUGAGAUUGGUUCCAAAUCUGUAGAUGUAAUAUAUGAAGAUGAUGAUAUAGCUGGAAUGAUCUUGGAGAUUGCAAAUGGUUAGAUAGGGCUUUUUAAAUUUCAUAUACCUUUGUUUUAAUAAAAGAUUAUCAAUAUGUUAAGCUCUUGUCAAUAUUUUUUCAGAAUCUUGUGAAGAAGCAAGUAAAGAACUUGGUGAAGAACUGGAAGAUAAAGAAAAUGUUCAACUAGAAGAGAAAGAAAAAGUUUCACGCAAUAUCUUAGUGGAGUUGUCUCUUAUAAAACAAAACAAGUUGUUGUGGAGAAGACAUGUACUGAUUGUCUUCUAAUUAUUAUAUUGACAAUUGAAAUUUUGUCUCUUGAUGAGUUGGUGCAAUAUAUAUAUAUAUAAUGUCGCCAGCUGAGAGGAACACAGAGGACACCAAUGAUGAGGAUCUUAACCAAUGUCCAAGGGAAUAAUGUCGCCAGCAGAGGGGAACACAGAGGACACCAAUGAUGAGGAUCUUAACCAAUGUCCAAGGAAAAGAAAGAGAGACAGUAUUGGUUAUGAAGUUCCGUCAUUUUCUCUGUUAACUCCUACUCCUCCAAGUACCCAGAUGGAUGUUGAUGUUGCUUUGACUAUGGAGGUUGAAAAAAAUGUUGAGGAAGAACUUGGUAGAGGGAAAAAGAACAAAAAGUUUAGCUGCCAGUUGAAAUCUCCCUUUGAUAAGGAGAGAAAAGUAGUAAGUUCCAAGGCGGACAAUAAAAAUACACCUUAAGAGUGCAGGUUGGGUAAAAGAAACAUACACUUGUAGGUUUAUUUUUCAUUAUACCUCUGAAGAUGAAAAAUUAAUGAAGAAAUUCACUGUAUGAUUGGGCAAGGAGAAGAGGCGAGGUCGCAAAAAAGAGUAAGUCUGUUAAUGUGUUUCACUACAUCCUUAACUUCUGCGGUUAUUACAAUAAUUUUAUAACUAACUAUCCCUAACAUAUAUAUUCAAGUUUAAUACUUAAGGACUACCUGUCCUUAAGUUUUGAACUUGGAAUUCCAAGUUAAGGACAGACAAUCCUUAAGUUCUAAACUUCAAUCUAUAAGUUAAAGACCAAGUGUCCUUAGCUUUUGAACUUCAUA